rnacentral:rRNA from 1 species
UGGGGAAUAUUGCACAAUGGAGGGAACUCUGAUGCAGCGACGCCGCGUGAGUGAUGAAGGAAUUCGUUUCGUAAAACUCUGUUCUAUGGGAAGAAAAGGACUGUACCAUAGGAGAAAGCUCCGGCUAAAUACGUGCCAGCAGCCGCGGUAAUACGUAUGGAGCGAGCGUUGUCCGGAAGUAUUGGGCGUAAAGGGUGCGCAGGCGGCUUUAAAAGUUGGAUGUGAAAUAUUGUGGCUCAACCACAAACGUGCAUCCAAAACUGCAAAGCUUGAGUUAAGGAGAGGUAAGUGGAAUUCAUGGUGUAGCGGUGGAAUGCGAAGAUAUCAGGAGGAAUACCGGUGGCGAAGGCGACUUACUGGACUUAACCUGACGCUCAGGCACGAAAGCGUGGGGAGCAAACAGG